CGUAUCCGCUCCUUGGGGAAACAGGUAUUUCCCUUUGGCAUUUAGAAUCCGGACAAGGCCGCACCUGGGCCUGUCUGGGGGUGUAGGAUCCAAGACAACUCCUUUGCUUCCUCCUUGAGCCCUGGCUGGGCUUGGGGAGAAAACCAAGAGGAGAAUGAAAUCAGGUGUCCCUGCUCUAGAAGUUCUGUCAGAUGCUCCUGCAGCACUGUCCAAGCCGGGCUACUCUCACAGCGCCCUCGGAAGCCUCGUGGCCGGCAAAGGUGGAGGCACCGCAGGAUGUGCCCGUUGCCGGCCGUGGCUCUGCAGGGCUUUGCUGGGACAGCUUCCCCCAGCCGAUGUGUGGAUCUGGAUGAAGGGGAAAGGAUUAGGGUAUCUGGAGAUGUAUCUCUCUUAAUCACUAGAGGCAACCUUUUGUAGUAAUGAUUAGGUCUAGUGCUUAACUUAUCCUUUUGGGAUCAUUUUUUGGCAGUGCUGCAUUACAGUAAAUUGCACUAUUCCAUGCUGGGGUCCGUGCUGGCAGCGGGGCCGGGCCGAGCAGCGCUUUCAGCCCCAGGUCCCGGCUGGCCGCAGCUGACGGGAGCGGCGGGAACCGCCGGUGGCACCGGGCACCGUCCCCCUCAGGGGCCGCGGGGCUCAAGGCACCGAGGAGCCGCUGGAGGGCCGGGAAGGCGGAGGGCACCGGGGCUGCCGCAGGGACAGCGCCGCCCAAGGCCCCGCGCUGCUGAGCUGCUGCUGGUGCCUACGGCACUGAGAGGACGCUCCCUUGAGCCAG